GGGCCCGCACAAGCGGUGGAGCAUGUGGUUUAAUUCGAUGCAACGCGAAGAACCUUACCUGCCCUUGACAUACAGCGAACCCUGAAGAGAUUUGGGGGUGCCGAAAGGAGCGCUGAUACAGGUGCUGCAUGGCUGUCGUCAGCUCGUGUCGUGAGAUGUUGGGUUAAGUCCCGUAACGAGCGCAACCCUUGUUCUUAGUUACCAUCAGGUUAAGCUGGGUACUUUAAGAAGACUGCCGGUGACAAACCGGAGGAAGGCGGGGACGACGUCAAGUCAUCAUGGCCCUUAUGGGCAGGGCUACACACGUGCUACAAUGGUUGGUACAGAGGGAGGCGAAGCGGCGACGUGGAGCAAAACUCAGAAAGCCAAUCGUAGUCCGGAUUGAGGUCUGCAACUCGACCUCAUG
rnacentral:rRNA from 1 species